AUAGUUCAUACAUGUUCCCGUAACGAAACAGAGCUUAAUCAAAGAAUUCAAGAAUGGAAGAGUAAGGGGCUUCAAGUGAGUGGCUCUGUAUGUGACCUGAAAAUUAGAGCUCAGCGAGAGAAGCUGAUGUUGACUGUCUCGUCUCAGUUUGAUGGCAAGCUCAACAUCCUUGUAAGUUCUGCACAGCUGCCAUAUUCACAAAGAAAAUUAUUUGUUAAAAGCCGGGGACCAUAUGGGAGUAUACAUUAGAUAGUUUAGGAAGUAAAAUUAUUUUUCCAAAAACUGCUUCAAUUUCAAAGUUUCUCUCUGCUUAUGUGAGUAAUAAGGUUGCAACUCUAAUGUGUCUUUUGCUUCUUCAAAGUCAAGAAUGCUUUAUUAGUGAAGAUCAUUUUCUCAGAUUAACAAUGCUGGAACCUUCAUACCUAAGGAAACCACAGAAUUUACCGAGGAGGAUUUCUCAACUGUAAUGACUACCAAUUUUGAGUCUGCUUAUCAUCUGUCUCAACUUGCACACCCCCUCUUAAAAUCAGCAGGAAAUGGAAACAUCAUAUUUAUAUCCUCUGUUGCAGGCGUUAUUGCUAUACCUAUGUGUUCCAUCUAUGCAUCGAGUAAAGGUACAGUUCAAUAUUUUCUCUUAAAAUCUAGUUCCAAGAAAGUCUUUUAGAUACUGACUGAAUAGUCUUCUGUACUUCAGGGGCGAUGAAUCAACUCACAAAGAACUUGGCAUGCGAGUGGGCAAAAGACAAAAUUCGUGUGAAUACAGUUGCACCAUGGGUCAUUAGAACCCCACUCCUUGAUACCGUAGAAGUAUAUACUCAUUCCCUCCACCCUUUUCCAUGAAUGGCUAUAUAUUUAUGUUCUAUUUUCCUCAUCACAUCUAUCUAGUUAAAACACCCAUUAAAGUAUUAUGCUUCUAAGUUUUAGCAUACAAUCAUUAUGGGAAUCAUGUCACACAUAAUCCUUUAUUUCCACCUAAGCAUAUGUAUAAAGAAAAAUUUCACAUAGAAGUACAAAUUACCGCAUUGUGUCACUUGCUUACAUCUUCUGCGUAUGUAAACCUACAGCAUUUAGAAGAAACGGUGCUUAACUGCUUAUAUUAACUGUUAAUUUUUUUGUUCUCUCAGAAAGAUUCUAAUUUUCUGGAACAUGCAAAUCGCAUGGUACUCCGUACUCCUAUGCUCCGUCCUGGAGAACCUAACGAGGUUUCAUCCGUGGUAGCAUUCCUAUGCUUGUCAGCCGCUUCAUAUGUCACUGGGCAGGUUAUUUGUGUUGACGGAGGAUACUCCGUCACUGGAUUUUAGCGGCAAUGAAAAUGAUCUUCGAUGCUAUUUAAAGUGUUCACUGUAAUGUAUGACGCUUAAUAAGCACUCUCUCAAAGAGAGAAGAUUCUGUGUUAUCUUUUAGUUGUUUAUGUCGUGAUCAUUAUCCUGUAUCUUACAACCUUCCAUCUUUGAUGACUAAUAAAUUUCAAACAAAAAGACUCCUAUAAUUCCUUUUAGUUCAACAAAAUGUACUUUAUAAAUGACACGACCCGCCCCAACCUAUAUAUCGGAUCCGAGGCGAAUUAUGUGGGUUAAUAACUAAAACUCAUAGCACAAAUUUAAUUCAUGAAAAUAUAUAUAUAAAUGAUUUCUAAUAUAAGCACAUAACAACUUCUGUGUCUCAUACGAAAAUACCCAUUCAAAACUUGCUAAAAUUAUAUAUAUAUAUAAAAUAAUAAUAAUAAGCAACAUAAACGUGCUCAAAAUGCAAGACAUUCAGUAAUGCGUCUCGUGGCUCAAUCUCGAUUGUCUAGAACUGAUAUGCACGAAAUCGUGUGAAAUCCCGAGAGAAAAGGGAUAAAUAAGAAAAUAAUGAGCUUGCAGCUCAGUGAGUGGAUGUAAUUAUAUAUAUUAUAAUAAUAAUAAUAAUAAAGUAGUGAACUAGUGCUUAUAUAUAAUCAUGUGACAUAACUCCACAUUGAAUAUCACACAUCAACAAACAUGGAAUUUAUGUAUACAUACAUGACAAAACUGCACCCAAUAGUACCUAGGGGAAAAUAUCUCUCAAUACUCGUCGGGAUCAUCAUCGCCCGAGUAAAACAGGGAAAAGCCUCUCAAUACCCAGUGUAAUUAAACUAUCUCGUACGGGUGGAGUAACAUAACUCUUAAUACGCAUGCGCAGAGUCUACGGGAAAGGGUACAUAUGUGGUGACUCAUAAUCACAUCUCAUAACUUAAUCAAACAUCUAAUAUGCAUACAUGUAAUCAUAACAUGGUAUUAAAUCAUAAUAUCAAACAUAAAUGUUGCACAUAAUAUAUAAUAGUAAUAAUAGUAUCCACUCACAUAUCCUGCUUCAAUCCAGGGUUUGUUGGGGCUCUUAUGGUUUUAUGGAUUCUUGAAUUUCUCCUAAAAUACAGUAUUAAAAAAUUAACGGUUAGAAGUGAUAUAAAAACUUAUACGUAGGAGGUAAAUUAAAUUAUAACUAUUUAAAUUUCAUAAAUCCAUUACCCACUGAUCCUGUGGAUAUAAUUCUAACUAUCCAAUUUCAAUUCCGAUAUUUUUAUUAUUUAUUUUUCUUUUCCUUCACACUCUGUCUUUCUUUCCUUUCUUCUUAUUUCUUUUCUUUUCUUUUUCUUCUUUUUUUUCUUCUCUUUUCUCUCGGUUUCCUUUCUUUUUAGCUCUCGGUGCUCCUAUUGAUAAAAUCAGGCAACUGUCAAAAUUUAUAUAUAAACAUUAACACUGCCUCAAGCAAGCAAGUGGAACGUGCACGGCAAGCAAGAAGUGAAGCCGACAUGUGGAGAAGCGGUGAAGCAGGCAGCUGAAAUGAUGAAGCAUGCAGCUUGGUCGCGCAAAAUUAAUGACCCAUGCUGGCUGUUUUUUUUUUUUUUUUCCAAGCAAUGCAUGACAAUAAAUCACCAAGUAUGAACGUAUCCAAGAAACACAAUAGCUAGUCAGUCAAACAAGAAACAUGAUAUCUGAUUGACGAAACGGAAACAUUGAAAGUAGAUUAAUAGAAGAAACAAGGUUUUUAAAUAAUGAGUUUAUUUAAAUAAUGAGUUUAUUGAAUGAUUCUCAAUAAUACAAAAGAAGGGUUCUAGGUGUUGAAAACGUUAAAUAAGGAGUGCUUCUUUUCAAUUCGGUGGCACACAAAAUUGACAAAGAUGGAUGGCUUGAGUUCUAAAAAAAAAAAUCCUAGAAGAAUAAGAAAAAAUCCUAAAACUCAAAAACAGCCAAAAAAAAAAGUAGAAUUUUCAGCUUGACCUCAGGAUAAAAUGACACGAACUAUUUUGUUUUAGAUUCAUCUGAUCGCAAGUUUCAAAAUGAUAUAUUAUACAUUGGAAACAAACAACUAUAGUCCAAAUUAUGACCUCCAGAGGAUACUCCACUCGUAAUACACACCCAUCAUACAUCAUUGAUGCCUAGAUUAAAAAGGAGAUGAAGUCAUUUGGGUUAUUUUGGCUAGAUUCACACCAGAGAGGCGCAGAGUGUUGAAACGUCAUGCACGUGACAUUCAAAUUCAAAAAUGCAUGCAAAAUUUCAAAUGGCUACCAAACAUUUGAAGAAAAAAUGGAAAGUUGGCAAAUUUGUCAAAUUUGCCAAAUUUGCCAAAUGACUAUUUGCUUAGGUUAGGUGGAAUAGUAAAGGGGUUGGUGCAAUAGUGUCAUUGUUUUCCCUAUAAAUAGAUGGCACUUCUUCCAUUCUUUUGUAUCCCAAAAUUGUUAAGCUUAUAAGUUUCUAAGCUUUUGAGAGAAGUGAGAGAAGUGUGUUUAGGAAAUUUAUCUUUCCUGCAGAGUGUGAGAGUACUAGGUAUAUUUGGGUUUCUGGAAAGUGAGAUUCGUUACUCAAAUAUUUGUACUCUAUUAAUUGUUAAAAAAAUAAUUAUUCUUUCUUGCCUCUGUGGAUAUAGGUUUAAUUACCGAACCACAUAAUUCUUGUGUCCUUUAUUUUUUUAUAAUUAUUUGGUGCGCUUGAUUCCGCAUUCUGCGCACAACAAGUGGUAUCAGAGCCGACGGUUCGUACUUGGGGGGAUACGAUACUGUUCACGUAUACGGUACUGUUCACGUAUACGGUACUAUUCCCGUAUACAGUACUGUUCACAUACGGAUACGGUACUGUUCACGAAUACAGUGGAGACGGCCAUUUGUACUUGGGCGACAGUCUAUUGUAAGUAGUGUGUAUUUUUGCAUGUCUAGGAAAGUUCUGUCAACAAAGACGAUAAGAGUCUAAGGAUUCUGGUUUUUAAUUGGGACCGAGUUCUUGUCCAGUUUCCUGGGAACUUUCCUGGUGCAUUUAUUCACGCGAAAUUAAAAUCAUAGAGACUGUUUUUCAAGUGGAAAUAGUUCGUUGAAAAAAUAGUAGAAGGUGAAACUUCCAGAAUUAGGAAGAGAUUUACCGACACUAUUUCAGGAGACACUUCAGGUGGGAGGUGUUGAGUGUUAGAAAAUGCAUAUUUAUAAAGGAGAAAACCGUCAUUUUACAUUUUAAGUCUUACUAACAACCCUUACUUUUAUAUAUUUAACCUUCUUGUGAUUUAAUUACAUGUGUUUUAUUUUAAUUAAGUAUUUUAUGUAUUUUAGGGGCAUUAUAGUCAUUUCACAAUAAAGGAGAGAUCAGACGGUAAAACGGACAUCACUUUUGAACUCAGGACGGUCGAAAACCUUAGGAGGAGCAUAAAAGGAAAAAUGGCACUAUUCACAUGUACGGUACUAUUCACGUGUACGGUACUGUAUACGUUACUGUUCACGACACUGUUCACAUAGACGGAUGAUGACGUGGCAUUGACCGAUGAUGUGGCAUUGACUGAUGAGGUGUCACGAUCCUGUUGGACUAAAAUUCUUAUGUACUGUUGAUGGUGACGUGGCAGCAUAUCAGUGGACGAAAAAUCUCGCGUACGGUGCAUGCAUCACACAGGAUUAUUUUCAACCAAACCGCGUUACUGUUCAUCCGGGUCAAACCGCGUUACUGUUCAAAGUCGGGUCAAACCGUGUUACUGUUCAUCCGCGUGGUCAAACCGUGGACUGUUGACUGAUGACGUGGCGCAAUCCUGAGCGUCCAAACUGUUUUUUAUCCGAUGGCCAUGAUUUACUCCAUGUAUCUAUAAAAAGGGGGCCUCCCCCCCCUAAUUUGAUAUCUCUGAAUCCAUUUUUGGGAUCCAUUUUCUGUAAUUCCCUCUCCAUCUUGUAUUUUCUUCGUAUUUUAAUAAAUUCCCAUUUUGCCCCUAGUUCAAUUAUGAGUGGCUAAUUUUCUUUCAAGCUUGGGUUGAAGGUGAAGUCUCAACAUGUGUCAUGAGCUUAAUUUGGUAAAUUUACUUUCUCUUCCCCUCUAAUUUUUGUGGAUGUUUUGACUUCUCGUCGACAAAUAAUACUAAUCUUGUCUAGUACCGCCUUGGUUACACCGGCUCUCUAGUAUAAGGUUAUUAUUAUUUGGCACGAUAAGCCCUUAGCACCAUAUUGAUUAGAGCGUGGUUCAUGAGGUGUGGAUUCCCCCCUCAUGAUUUAAUUGGCAUUAAUACGGAUUAUUUAGCCCAUGAUGCAUGUUGAUACGGAUCCAGAUACCCAAGUACGUCAAUUUAAUAGAUUUUCUCUUCAAUUUAUUCUCUCCAUUGCAAUUCCAAUUUUAGAAUUUAUUCUCGCCAUUUUAAUUUAAGUAUUAGCUUAUUCCAAAUCAUUUCCCCCAUAAAUCCAACUACCCAUUUACAAAAUUAAUUCUAUAUAUAAUUAAAAUCCACCUCCUCGUGGGAUCGACACUCGUCACCAUUAGUCUAUACUACAAUAGAUUCGUGCGCUUGCGAGUACAUUAAAAUUUGCACAACAGGAGGCGAGAUUUAUCAAAUCGCUAUUCAGCACCUAUUAUAGGAGGCCAGAAGAUCAAUGUUGAAAAGUUUGAUGGGAAAAUCAACUUCGGCAUGUGGAGGCGCGAAGUUAUGGAUGCCCUCAUUCAAAUUGAUCUCGAUGUUGUUCUGAAAAAUAAAAGACACUUGUAUGAUGAAGAAAUUUGGGAUUGUUAGCGUGCAAUUUAUGCACUAGUUUUGCAUUGUUUACUUCCCUUAAUAUCUAUGUUUUGCACUUAAUAAUAGUGAUUUACUUGUGUUUUACUUUUGUAGGUACAAUUCUAUUGAUUGGUGAUAAAAUUGAGCUAUAAGAUGAUGUUUAAGGAUGAUUGUUCUCUUGGAGAAAUUAUAAGUGUCAGAAGAACUUUGUUGAUAAGGCGUGGGCGCGUGCUGUCAACUACGAACCUGCAGUUUUAAUUUAACGUAUUUUAUAUUUUUGGUUAUUUUUGUAAUUACGAAUUUAAUAUUUUAGAUAUUAGUAUUUUAUUUUAAAUAGAACUCUAAAAGAGAAGAGAGAGAGAGUAUUUAAGGGAGGAAUCUAUUGUGAAAAAUGGGGAUUGGAGAAAAAGAAAGAAACCCUAAAUCUAAUUUUUCUCUUCUCUCUAUGAAGAACUAAACUUAUUUUUUCUGGUUGAAGGUUAAUGAAGCUUUGAUUUAUCACUACUGUGAGAUCUUUCUUAUGCUUUAAUUGUUUUAUUACUUUUUGGGUAUUUAUUUAUUCUCUGAAUUAGUUUCAUGAUUAUGUUUGUUAAUUAGGUAAUUGGCCACUAUUUAAUUAUCAACUUAAUCUAUUGUCAAUUAAAGGAUUCAUCGUAUGAAGAUUUUAAUGUUUGUGACAAAUAACAUAGCAGUGAGUUGUGUUAUGAGAAUAAACAAUCUAAUUUAAAUGAAUCAUCGUAUGUGUUGAUUAGGAUUUGGGUCUCUCUGGUUUUUCAGGCUAUCAAUUAAUUAAAUCAUAUGAUCGUAUCUAGGGUUGUCUAUUGAUUAGGGAAAUAACCAACGGUUGUACCUUGGUUAUCGACUAGUUAAGGAGAGAUUGGCUAUUAGAGGGUCUCAGUAGCUAUAAUCGGUCUAUUCAUAAGUAAUAAUAAUUUAUAUUUGAAUCAAUGAUCAGUAGUCAAAUCAAGCUGAGUUAAUUCCUUCAACCAGAGCUUUCUUCAAUUUGAAUUACAACUUUAAUUUGCAUUCUUGUUAUUUUAAUUUGAUUCUUAUUAUUGUCAACAAUUCCCCCAUUUUAAGUUUUACGUUUCAAAAGGAUUUAAAUAAUUACCGAUCUCUGUGGACACGACCCUGCUCAAUCAUUACACAUAAUUUAUUUAGAAUAGGAAUUUAUUUUUGUUGGCUUCGACAACCAUCAGGGAUCGUAUGAAUGAAAAAGCAUGUGGUCAGAUCAGAUCUUGUUUGACCAAGGAGGUGAAAUACUUGGUGAAAGAUGAGGAGUGUGCGGUGACUUUGUGGCGUACAUUGGAGGAGAAGUACCUGGUGAAAAGUCCUGAAAAUUGCCUUCAUGUAAUGAGCCAAGUAUAUGGUUUUCGAAUGAAGCCUGGGGUGUCAAUGCACAAUCAUGUUUCAAGAUUUGAAAAGUUACUUGCUGAUUUGAAGAAUCUUGAUGAAGAUAUUAAGGAUGAAAUUAAGGCUAUGAUUUUGUUACACUCACUACCAGAUGAAUAUAGCCAUUUUGUGAUUACUUUGAUAUAUGGGAAUGGUGUGAUCGUCUUUAAAGAUGUUUGCACAACAUUGACUAGCUUAGAGAUUUGGAAUAAUGAUAAAAAUUCUGAACGAGUAUUGUCUGAAGGUUUGGUGAGCAGAGAUUGGGCGAUGGAGAAACAGAAGAAGCGUGGUGGAAAGAAUUCUCGAUCCAAAUCGAGAAGCAGAAAUAUAGCUCGAGACGAGUGUGCCUUUUGUCAUGAAAAGGGUCAUUCGAGGAAAGAUUGUCCAAAGGCUCAAAAAAGAGAUGAGAAGAAACCUACAGUAGCAAACAUGGCACGGAAAGAUGAGGGCUCUGAUUAUUCACUAAGUAUUACUCCUGCAGCAUACGUGGCUAGUUCGAGCGAGUGGAUACUUGAUACUGGAGCAACUUAUCAUUUGUGUCCUAUUAAGGAAUGGUUUACGGAUUUUCGUAAUCUGGAAUCUGGUGCAGUUGUGAUGGGAAAUAAUCAACCUUGUCACACAAUGGGGAUAGGAACAAUUCGGCUCAAAAUGUUUGAUGGAAUGGUCAGAGAACUCAAAGAGGUUAGAUUUGUUCCAGCUUUAAAGAAAAAUCUAAUUUCCGUGGGUGCUUUGGAAGCUAAAGGCUACAAGGUUACCAUUGAAGAUGGCACAAUGAAGUUUACACAUGGGGCUAUGGUGAUUCUGUAAGGGGUUCGGCGUCACAAUCUGUACUAUUUGAAGGGAGGUACAACUGAUGAAGCAAAUGUUGUUGAGGCACACAGUGACACCACCAAGCUAUGGCAUGUACGACUGAGACAUGCUAGAGAGAAGUCUUUGUAAACUUUGAUGAGGCAUGGACUCUUAAAAGGUACCAAAACCUGUAAAUUAAAUUUCUGUGAGCAUUGUGUAGUAGACAAGAAAACAAGGGUCAAGUUUGGUACAGCUAAUCACGAUACUCGUGAGAUCCUUGAAUAUGUUCAUAGUGAUGUAUGGGGACCAACCAAGACUGCAUCAAUUGGUGGAAGCCAUUAUUUUGUUACAUUUGUUGAUGAUUUCUCUAGACGUGUGUGGGUGUACACCAUGCGAGCAAAGGAUGAGGUUCUAGAGAUUUUCGUGAAAUGGAAAAAAUUAGUGGAGACUCAAACUAGCAGAAAGAUCAAAGUAUUACGAUCUGAUAAUGAGGGUGAUUAUACUUCUAAUCCAUUCUUGCAAGUAUGUCAGAACGAGGGUAUUAAAAGACAUUUUACGGUGAGACAUACUCCGUAACAGAACGGUGUGGCUGAGCGUAUGAAUCGUACUUUACUGGAGAAAGUACGGUGUAUGUUAUCUAAUGCUGGUUUAAAUAAAAAGUUUUGGGCUAAAACUGUGAGCUACGCAAGUCACUUGGUAAACCAGUUGCCUUCUGCUGCAAUUAGAGGUAAAACUCCUAUGGAAAUGUGGUCUAGAAAGUAUGCACAAGACUAGAUUCCUUUCGUGUAUUCGGGUGUCCAGCUUAUUAUCAUGUCAAAGAUGGUAAACUGGAUCCUCGUGCUAGAAAAACUAUUUUUGUAGGAUUCAAAGGUGAAGUAAAGGGCUUCAAGCUUUGGGAUCUCAAAGGCAAAAAUUUGUGUGUAGUAGAGAUGUCACAUUUAAUGAAGCUUCAAUGAUGAAAGCUUCAAGUUCUCAACAGGUGGAGAACAAGGCCAAAGAGGUAUUGCAGCGGGUGGAGUUUGAUGCAACUCCAUAUGUACCAGUUAGUUCUACAUCAAAGAAAGGUUCAACUAUGGAGGUGACACCUAGAGUUGAAGAAGAGGUUGUUUCUUCUGAUGUCCCACAAAAUGAAGAAACAACUGAUGAUGUAGAUAAUGAUAAUUUUAUAGCAACAAAGAGGCCAAGAAGAGAGAUAAAGAAACCCAGAUGACUUACUAAAGAUAUGGUGGUAGCCUAUGCACUUCUAGUUAUUGAUGAUGGCAUCCCCAACACUUUCGGUGAAGUAUUACGCAGCAGUGAAAUUGAUCAGUGGAAGUUAGCCAUGGAGGAAGAGAUGAAAUCUCUCCAUCAAAACUAGACUUGGGAACUUGUAAAGUCACCAAAGGGGAAAAGGGCUAUUGGCAAUAAAUGGGUCUACACCAAAAAGCAAGGAUCUCCGAAUCAAACAACUCCUCGAUACAAGGCAAGGCUCGUGGCAAAAGAUUUUGCUCAAAAGGAAGGUAUUGACUACAAUGAAGUUUUCUCUUCAGUUAUAAAACAUACUUGCAUUCGUAUCCUACUUGCCUUAGUUGCAGAAUAUGAGUUAGAGUUGGCUCAAUUGGAUGUUAAGACAGCGUUCUUACAUGGAGAUUUGGAAGAGGAAAUCUAUAUGAUUCAGCCUUGUGGUUUCAGAGUUGCUGGAAAGGAGAAUCAUGUGUGUAAGUUGAUUAAAUCUUUGUACGGACUGAAGCAAUCGCCAAGGCAAUGGUACAAAAGAUUUGAUCAAUUUAUACAAUGGCAGAAAUUCACCAGAAGUGAACACGAUCAUUGUGUUUACUUUAAAAGACUACCAGAUUGAGCUUUCAUCUAUUUGUUACUCUAUGUCGAUGAUAUGCUUAUAGCUUCGAAGAAUAGAGAUGAGAUCGAAAUAUUAAAGAAGCAGCUGGCUUCUGAGUUCGAGAUGAAAGACUUGGGUGAUGCACAGAGAAUACUUGGGAUAGAGAUUCGUAGAGACAAGAAGAAUGGGAGCGUAUGGUUGACUCAAGAGUCUUAUUUAAAGAAAGUGCUAGAAAGAUUCUGCAUGGAUGACAAAACUAAACCGGUAUGUACACCUCUAACUCCUUAUUUCAAAUUAAGCUCUUCUUCAUGUCCUAAAUCUCAAAAGGAGUGCGAUUACAUGGCUCGUGUUCCAGAUGCUAGUGCUGUGGGUAGUCUUAUGUAUGCUAUGGUAUGCACAAGGCCCGAUAUAUCUCAAGCAGUAAGCAUGGUUAGUAGAUACAUGCACAAUCCGGGUAAAAAUCAAUAGCUUGCGGUAAAGUGGCUUCUCCGAUAUCUGUAUGGGACAGUUGAUGUUGGGUUAUUGUUCAAGAAGGAUUGUGUUCAACAAUGUGUUAGGUAUUGUGAUUCUGAUUUCGCUGGAGACCUUGACAAGCGAAGAUCAACAACGGGCUACGUAUUCAUAUUGGGUGGAGGUUUGGUUAGCUGGAGGUUGAUUCUACAAUCGACAAUUGCUCUGUCCACUACGGAAGCAGAGUAUAUGGCAGCAACGAAAGCUGUAAAAGAAGUUAUCUGGUUGAAAGGCUUGUUAGGUGAUUUGGGGGUAAUCUAGGAGAACAUUGCGGUCUUCUGUGAUAAUCAAAGUGUGAUAUUCCUUGCGAAGAAUCAAACAUAUCACGCUCGGAUGAAGCACAUAGAUGUGAAAUAUCAUUAUGUGAGAGAGAUUAUCGAGAGCGGUGUUGUGUUGUUGAGUAAGAUCGAUACCAAAAAUAAUUCAUCAGAUAUGUUGACGAAGGUAGUUUCUGGAGUUAAGUUUCAACAUUGCUUGAAAUUAAUUCAAAUCCUUCGAUUGUGUUAAGAUACGUCCUUCGGGAAUUAUGAACUACGGUUGGCUUGAUCCCAAAUUUUGGGUACGUAGGCAGUCGAAUCGACACAGCCAUUCUGGAUCCUUAUUGAAGGAUCACUUUGGGGAUGAGGGUUCGUUGGUAGUCGGCUCAGAUUUGGACAAAUUUUCGCUGAGGUGGAGAAUUGUUUAAAAGUCAUGCACGUGACAUUCAAAUUCAAAAAUGCAUGCAAAAUUUCAAAUGGCUACCAAACAUUUGAAGAAAAAAUGGAAAGUUGGCAAAUUUGUCAAAUUUGCCAAAUUUGCCAAAUGGACACCAUUGACUAUUUGCUUAGGUUAGGUGGAAUAGUAAAGGGGUUGGUGCAAUAGUGCCAUUGUUUUUCCUAUAAAUAGAUGGCACUUCUUCCAUUCUUUUGUAUCCCAAAAUUGUUAAGCUUAUAAGUUUCUAAGCUUUUGAGAGAAGUGAGAGAAGUGUGUCUGGGGAAUUUAUCUUUCCUGCAGAGUGUGAGAGUACUGGGUAUAUUUGGGUUUCUGAGAAGUGAGAUUCGUUACUCAAAUAUUUGUACUCUAUUAAUUGUUAAAUAAACAAUUAUUCUUUCUUGCCUCCGUGGAUGUAGGUUUAAUUACCGAACCACGUAAUUCUUGUGUCAUUUAUUUUUCCAUAAUUAUUUGGUAUUCUUGAUUCCGCAUUCCGCGCACAACACAUAGUUAAUUGGUAUCAUUUUCCUUCUUGUUCUUCCCCAUCAAUCGCUUACUGUGAGGAAUUGGAACACGGCACGGCAGUCCAUAAAGAACGUAUCUUUUUGAAAAGCUGUUGGCCAUAGAACAUGUGGAACAAAAUUGUUCCAUUAUUAUCAAGUAAUUGAAACCGAUCACCAUCCAGGUGGACUCGUUAAAAAUGGAAAUUUCAUUGAAUCAAAAGUUCAAAGAAAAUCAUGCUCCUGUUGAUAUCAAAGAUCUACCAAGAAUAAAUGGGAAAUAUUUGAAGUAUAUGGUCACCAGUUAAGGGGGUCUGACCGGCACCCCAGUAGGAGAGGAAAUAAAUGGCAGGGCCCUAGGCACCUAGCUGUUAUUUAUUUAUUUUUUAUUUUUUAUUAUUAUUCAUCGCUAAUUAUAUUAAAUUAAGGAUGAGAUAAAAAAAAAAACAUAGAUUCUAAUUUAAUAUAUUUUGUCAUGUGGUAUAUUUUGUAACCGUACGUAACAUUCACGGUGAUGAAGCUGGCUCCAAGGCACUGUUGUUGGAUCUGUGAAUUAAUUCAUUGCUUUUCUUGUUUGAUUCUUCAAAAUAUUUUUUGGGUUCUUUUUUAUGUAAGAGGGUUUUCACACGUUGGUACUGAAUGUUAUUGAAAUGUUUAAAUCGAUUUCUAAAAAUAGGAAUCAAAACAUUUGUAUUUUUAAAGAGAAAAUAGAAAUAAAAUCUUUAUAGCUUCACAGUUGUUCAAAAAUAUUUUUUAAUAUCAAAAAUUUUUUAGAUCUUCUUUGAUAUUGAGGUGCAAUACUAUAACUACAAUUGCUAUAACAAAUUAAAGUGAGGAUAUUUAGUAAAUCACUAGUUGUAAAAGAUUAAGAUAUUUUUAAAAAUAAUAAUUAAAAUUCAAUAAAUUUACAUUGAAAACAAAAUAGAGAGAAUAUCGGAGCUGGGCUUUUAAGAGACAGAGAUGAUGACAAAAGAAUAAAAAGAUUGAUGCUAUCAGCACUCCUCCAAUAUGCUGAGGAAACCCCUUCUUUGGAAUUAUAAUUUUAUCCAUGUGCAAAAUUACAUGAUACGCCCACAAUUUCAUCAUGUCUUGUGCAAACUUUCACACCCACGAGUUGCCGACUUCAUAUUACGAACUUUUGGCACCCACAUGUAGAAUACUGCCCUUUUUUUUUCUUUUUAACAAUUCAAAAUAGUGGAAGAAGUGGGAGGAACUUGUUAUUGCAUGUGUUCAAGAAUUCAAUUUUUAUUUAUAUUUUAUUCAUGUUUUGUUGUCACAUUUGUGAAGAACAAAUUACCCAUCAUUGUCUUGCUACUUCAACUACGACUGUCAUAGUUUUCAAAAUUCAUUAGAUUAUUAUUGGUGCAUAAUUUGUGCCGUUGUUGAUUACUGCAUUCAGUUUUUUUUUUUUCCUCCUUCGAGAAUUCAUCUUAUUUUGAAUUUUAUCAACUUUCUCCAUUAUUUUUCUUUGAUCUGCAAUUGAAAUUGUCUUGGUUUGGCAACAAUGCAGAGUUUCCUUUCCUUUUCGUAUUGCUAACCUUCUUGCUCGUGGAAACCCCCCCCCCCCCCCCCCCCCCCCCUUUUUUGGCGAAUUCAAGAAAACAAUUGUAAAAUUCAGCUUCUUUUCUUUAAUUAAUCACCGUCAUCUUGUACUUCUAAAGUUACAGGGUAUUUAUGGAAUAAGAUAGGUAUGAUUAGAGAGAAGGAAAUGAAUAUAAAAUGAUUUAGGAAUGAUGAAAUUUUAUGGGGUUAAAAAUUAAAAAAAAAAGUAUUUAAUGUUUUUGCAUUUAAAAGAUCGUGUGCAUAGUAAAAUUUACUUUUUUUUUUAAAAUUAAAUGAGUGAAUUCAUUUUAAUAUUGUAAUGGGUAUAAAAAAAAAGGGAUGUUGAGCGGACUUCACUGGUUCCACUAAAAAAAGAGUUUAACUAUUAGCUCUCUUUCAAAUACCUCUUAAAACCCCCUUUGUUUUUAUUACCCAUUAAAUUGCAUAAAGAUUAUAAAGCUCCUCAUCAAAUCCCUUCAAUUCCAAUAAUAACCACGAUUUCUUAUUGAGUAAACCCCUUAAAUGUUAUCCCCCUCUCCCAUCUUGUCGUUUGUUUCUGUCUCUUCAGAUUUUCCUUGUAUCUUCUUCUCUCUCAUUCUCUCCAUCGGCCACUACCUUAUGAUGAUAAACAAAUUAAACCUAAUAAAUUGAUUAAUUUUCUGCAUUGAUAUUUUAGAAUUGCGGGAAAUAAAACUUUAUAAAUUCUAAAAAACGCUUAAGAUCUGGUGAGGAUGGUGAAGCAGCUUGGUGUCAUAAACCGAGAACAAAGAUGCUUGCUUAGCCAAAGCCAUAAUGCCACAGACAGGUGAUAAGACCAGCAUCGAUUUAUCAAAAUAGGAACACUAGCAUCGAUGCUUGGAUUAUCAAGGGAAAAAAAAAAAGGAAAAAGGCAAAAACUAUGCCCUUAAAAUCAUAUAUAUUAAACUAACUUGUUUCAUUAGUUAUUACCUAUGUUCAUCAGUAGUAUAAGGGGGGAAUUGAAUAGAACUGGUAGGGCAUAUUCAUUUUUAAUAAAUAAUGCCUCGUAAGCUGCAUAUUGGAGACAAAAGGAGGGAGUUUACUGGUCUAAUUUGUGUGAUUACUAAUAAUACUCCCACAUUUGGAUUGCUAAUUGGUUUUUACUAGUCCAAUUAAAAAAAAAUCCCAAAUUCAUAAGAUAAGUUGUCUCAUGUGGGCAUACGCAAAAAUCAGCACAACGUGCAUAAUAUGAGUUGGGUUAAUAAGUGCUUCCAACUCAGGUAAAUUAAUUUUUACCAACCCACAAUAAUUACGCGUUGAGUUGGGUUGAAAAAUUUUAAUUCAAUCCAUCAAUCCACACAAUUAGUAAUAAUAACAUUUUUAAUAUUUCAUUACUAAUUACUUAUUCAAAUAAUAAUGAAUUAUUAUAUAGGAUUUGAUCAAAAUUAAAAGUUUAAUGUUUAGUUUUUAACGAGGCUUUGAACUUCUAGAUUUAUUUUUUAACAUUAUGUUAGUGUAAUGGAUUAUGAUGUAUGAUAGAUGUUAUUUUACACGUGUUUUAUUUUUAGUUAUUUCUAUUAAUCAAUUAAUUUUUUUGAUUUUGAGAUUGAACAAAACAGAGAACUAAAAAGAGUCUUUCGGGUAAAGCCCAACUUGACUUGACUAAACGUGCACUUACGCGAUUUAAGUAAAUUUCUCUUCCCUCUUCCAAAUUCUAAGAAUAAAAAACCAAGAAACGUUAAUUUAUUAUAAAUUAUAAUUUAAUAAAUUGAAUAAAGUGCCUUUGCAAAUCUUUGUUGAUGUCGUUUUCGUCCUCCUUUUUCUUCCCAUUCACAACUCCAUUCCCCUGCAAAAAUAUGCCUUUAGUAAUCUCGCUUUGAUGCUCCUUCCGCUUCCCAUUCACAAAUCCAUUUUCCUGCAAAACAUUGCCACAAGCUUAAUUAGAAAUAUCAGAACAUCUGAUUUGAAAAGCUUCUCAACUUCCCUGCAACUCCUCCAUUAUUUUCUCUCUAUCCCUCAUUUAUUUUGCCAUUCAUCAGGUUAUUGUUAACUUAUUUUUGUUUCCCUUAUACAAAAUUAAUUAGACUAUGCAUGGUUCUCUAAUCUUUUUUUUCAAAUUAAUUACGUUAUUCGUAAUAAUAAUAAGGGUGUAUUAGUUUCUAAUGACCAGGUCAAUAAUAUCAUUGGAUCAUUCAAGUGAUAAAGAGCAGGAAGAACUCAUUAAAGUGGGGAUGAAAGUUAAUUCUGACGAAGAAGCAUAUAAUUUAUACAAUAAUUAUGCUUUGAGAAAAGACUUUAGUAUCCGCAGAUGGAACAUUCAAAGAGAUACAUCAAAUAAAAUUCAGCAAUGUGAAUUUAUUAAUUUGUUCGAAACAAGGAUUUCAAUUAGAUGAAAACUCAUAUAAGGCGAAGAAGGUUAAUCACUUGGAAACAAGAAUAGAUUGUAAAGCUAUGAUUCGAUCUACUGUCAAUGAUGAAGAGUGGAUAAUUCCUCAUAUAUUCUCAUAUCAUAACCAUGAACUUGCAAACCUGAAGAAAGGCAAUUUCUAAAAUCUAGCUGAAAAAUACCUAGUGCUCAUGGGGCUGUAAUAAGGUCUAUUCUAUGGGUAAUGUGGGAUAAGAGCGUCGAAGUCAUGCUCCAAUUUAGCAAAUGAAGUUGGUGGGGCUAAGAAUCUCAACUUCUUAAAGAACAAAAAAACAAGGAUAAGAUGAUUGAAACAAAUCAAGCUUUGCUCAAUUAUUUAAACGAAGACAAUGUGAGGAUCCUUGCUUUGUUUAUUCAAUACAAGUUGAUCAAUAUAAUUGCAUGACGAAUUUUUUUGAGAGACAAUAGAUCAAAGUUAGAUUAUGAUUGAUUUGUUGAUGCUAUUUGUUUUUAUACUACAUUUUCCACUAACAAAUAUAAUUUAAUAUGUGCUCCAUUUGCGGGUGUUAAUCACCAUUCAAAGAAUGUAUUGUUUUGUUAUGCCUUUUUGUAUGAUGAGACCACAGAGUCAUUUAUUGGGUUGUUUGAGACAUUUCUGGAGGCAAUGGAAAACAAACAACCAAAAUGCAUUUUUACAGAUAAGGAUAAAGCAAUGUCAAAUGCAAAUGAAAUAGCAUGUCAGCGAUUGUGUAUUUGGCAUUUUGCUAAAAAUGCCACACAACAGCUUGCUACUUAUUAUACAAGACCUUAGUUCAAGCAAUAUUACAAGAAGUGCUUUUAUGGGUGUAGCAAUGCAACAGAAUUUAAAGCUUCUUGGGUUGAGAUGAUUAAAAAGUUCAAAUUAGAAGCGCAUUCAUGGCUCAAAAAGUUGUAUUCUCUUAAAGAGAAGUGGUGUCCAGCUUUUAGUUUGUGUACAUUUUCUACAAAUAUGAAGUCGUGAGAGUACAAAUAAUGUUUUUCAUCAAAUUUCAACAAAAACAAUGGAGCUCAUUAUAGUUGCUGAGCAUUAUGACAAUAAAGCAAACGAGAUAUGAUUAGAGGAGUUGCAAGAUGAAUAUAGUUACAUGAAUAUAGUUACAAGCAUGGCAUUUUUCAUCUCAUAAUAAAAAGUGAAAUUUUAAGCCAACAGUACAAACUUACACAAAUAAGAUGUUUGAUAUAUUUGAAAAAGAGUAUAUGGGUUGCAUGGCUGUGAGGAUGGAAGAAAUUUGUAAAAACGAUGAGGUUUAUGUAUAUAAAGCAAAUGAAGAAGGGCAACAAAGAGUAUUUAUUAUUGAUUAUAAUUCAACCACUAUGGAUAUUUCAUGCUUAUUUAAGUUAUUUCACUCGAUGAGGAUAUUGUGUUGUCAUGCUCUAAAAGUUUUUUAUUUACAUAAUUUCACGAACCUACUAGAGUGUUACUUAUUAAAGAGGUGGACUAAAGAAGCAAAGAAAGGACUUAUAAUGGGAAAUGGUACUGCUAACUUAUCACGUAACAAUACCAAGUAUGGGCAAUUAUUACGCUUUAGUGAACUAAUGCAUGCAGGAACUGUAAUUUAUAGUAUAGUGUCAUUGAGUGUUUUCUUGAACAAUGAUUGUUAAAAAAACCGUUAGCCCAUACAAUGAAGCUUUUGGAGGGUGAUAUGAAAAUAAUGAGUAUAUUUGAGAAUUCAAAGAAAACAGAUGAUCGUUCCAAUCAUGAUGUUGUUCAUUCAUGAGAAAUUGGUUUUGAGUCCAGCAAAAGUAAAGACUAAAGGAUUGGCAGAUGCUAGAAUAAAAACUAAUUUGGAGAAGCAAAAAAGGAAAACUACAAAAGGUAGAAAUUUACUUUCUUUAUUUCUUUUUCUUUUUUUUUUUUUUGCAUAAAGAGGUCUAUGACUAAUUGCUCUUUAUAUAAACUUCAUUUGUUUGAAUAAGUAUCAUCUCUUAUGCAGGACAAUAGAAAAAUGUAUCUACUAGUGGUUCAUCACAUCCAACAACCAAGCAACAAUUUUCAGCAUUAAAUCCAUCGAUUCAUAACUUUAAGUUUUACUAGCCUCCUUCAAGGAAUUGAUCGAGCGCCUCAUUUAAACUAGGCAAUACUUGAAAAUCAUUAUACACACUUAAUCUCUAAAAUAGAGCAUAUUUAUCUAUAUAGCGUGGUCCAUCUUCAUAUUUGCCAACAGUUGUAUAUGGACAGUGGCCUCACUUAAGUCAUUUUUUUUUUCGCCUUUUGAAUUGAUUAUUUAAAUAACUAUCUAUAUGUUGUCUAAUAUACAAACAUACAAUGUAGGAUUAAAACAACUAUGGUGUGGAUCAAUUUGAACACCAAGAAAAUUGAAUGUUAUAUAACAUCAUUUUUUUUUAAACACAAUGGUAUGUGGUCUAUGUCUUCAGUUAGCAUAUUACUAUUGUUUAUAUUCAUUGGUUAAUAUUUUUACUUUUUUAACAUUGCACUGAUUCUUUUCCCUCUUUUUGCAUGUGUAGGUUGCCAAGGCAUUUACCGAAUAUAGCAAUAUGUGGAUUUACACAUUGGAGUGGUUAAAUUUAUAAUGUUGCUCUUGGUACAAGAAUCUUUGUUCACUUAAGAAUUAUGUUUGUUCUUAGACACUUUUUUUUUCAGCUUCUCAAAUUUAUUCAAAAAAUAUUGUUGUUUAAAUUCUAUGUAACCAAGAAGAUUGUGAGUUUUUAAUUUUUAGUUUAUUUUUAGCACUAGUGCUUGCCUUCUGCAUUUUGUUAUUUAAUGAAUAAAAUGAAAUUUUGAUACAUGUGGAUUAAUUUUGAGCAGCAAUGAAAAACUAUUUUAUGAUCUUUUCAAAUAUUGAACCUUUGUUUAUUUUUUCAAUAAACUUGAUUAUAAACGAGGGUCCAGCUAUGGUGCCCCUAUGACACCAUACCCCUACUUUUUGUUAUUUUUUCGAAUGCCUUCCUUACAAUAUUAUUAAUUGAAAUUUCAAAAUAGAUUUCCACUCAUGAGAGCAUGUUUACCAAAAGAUAAAACAUACAUAUUUUACUUACAAUAAUUUCAGAAUUCACAAGUAGUUUAGAUAAUCGUGACACAUGUUUUCCCAUUAAAAAUAGUGAAUCAAACAAUUACCAAAAAAAAAAUUCAACAUCAAUGUCCUAACUAUUGAAUUAGCUGAUGAAGCUGAACUUCAUGCAACACACGUUGGAGUGCCAGCUAGAAUCAAACCAGCUAUAAAUCCAGUAGCUAGCCUAUGAGUGAGAUUGAAAGGUGCACGUGAGAAGCUAUAGAAUUCCAGGUGGCAAAACUGUUAUGAAAAGAUUCCCAUGCAGUUGGAUGUGGCUGGAAUUAGUUAGAAAAUCAGUUAUUGUUAAUUGUGUAUUUGUUAUUUUGUUAGUUAGAUUGCUUAGCUAUAAUUGGCGUGAUUAGCAAGCAUUAGAUUCUACUAUAAAUACUGAGCUAAGCUCAUUAUUGUAAAUUGAGUUUUGUGAUAAUAAAAUUGAAACAGAUCUUCAAAUUCUAACUUGGUAUCAGAGCUUUGUUGUUUCAAUGGCUAGCAAUGAUUUUCAAGCCACAAGCACUCGAGCUUCGAGCUCAAAUGCAAAUCCGAUCACAAACUCAAUUAACAAUCCAUCGAUUAACUUUUUUAUCUUCAACACUCCGAUCAAACUCACAAACAACAAUUAUCUGCUAUGGCGAUCUCAAGUAAUUGCCACAAUCAAUGCAAACGAGCUAGAAGAUCUAAUUGACAACACUAAGAAUCCUCCAAGUCGAAUGAUUGUCAAUGUUGGUAAUGAUCAAACUGUGAUCACCGUGGUAAAUCCACAAUUCCAGAUCUGGAGAAAAGUUGAUCAACAACUCAUGAGCUGGCUGCUUUCAACUCUAAGUGAAGAAGUGUUAAGCGUUGUUGUUGGAGCAAGCUCAUCUCUAGAGGUAUGACAAACACUUGCUGGACAGUUUGGUGCUAGGUCUAGAUCAAGAGUUCUUCACUUAAGAACUCAACUCCAGACAACUAGAAAAGGAUCCUUGAAUGUUCAUAAGUAUUAUACUGAGAUAAAGAUGAAUUUAGAUGCUCUUAGAGCUGCUGGUAAUCAUAUGAGCAAUGAUGACUUUGUAUUGUGUCUACUUGCUGGUCUUGGACCUGAGUAUGACUCAAUUGUUGCUACAAUCAAUGCUAAGUCAGAAAGCAUAACUCCAUCAGAGGUGUAUGGUAUGUUGUUGAGCCAAGAAAAUAGAAUUGAACAUCAGAACUCUGUUAGUGGUUUAGAUUAUCAAGCAAACAUUACUUACUACAGAGGAAACCAGAGGAGGAAUUGGCAAUCAAGUUUCAACAAUUCUGGAAAUCCUACUAAUCAGAGUGGAAGGCAAUAUGGAAUUAAUUCUGGUGGUGGAAACUUUAAUCCAACUCAAGAGAAGAUGAAAGGGAAAGCUCCAGCUGAUGAAGAAAUACCUAAAGGACCAUGUCAAAUCUGCUCCAAGAAGAAUCACACUGCUGUAACCUGCUGGUAUAGGUUUAAGAAAAACUAUGUGCCUAAUUUUGCAGGAAACAAAAGAAGUGCUUAUGUGGCUGAAGGUGCAGAAGCUAAAAGUAGAGGCUGGUAUCUUGACAAUGGUGCAACAAAUCAUGUUACUAAUGAUCUCAACAACUUAAGCAUAAGUUCUGAAUACAAAGGUAAUCAUCAGCUUGCAGUAGGUAAUGGUUCUAAGCUUGAAAUUAUUUCUGUUGGUUAUACAUUGCUUGGCACACUUGAACCUGAUAUUCAGAAACACAUUAAACUAAACCACAUUCUCUAUGUACCUCAAAUAACCAAAAAUCUUAUCAGCAUAUCAAAACUUUUGAAUGACAACAAUAUAUGCAUUGAGUUUAACAAAACAUUUUGUGUUGUUAAGGACAAGAGAAUGGGGAUUGUUCUCAUGAAAGGUGUGGCUAAAGAUGGACUGUACAAGCUGCUGAACUUACCUCUAAAUCACUCUCAAGUCAAGUAUAUUCUGUUGUCUUCUGUUUCAUAUUCUAGUUUGUUUUCAGUUUGUAAAAUAAAUAAACCAGAGUCUAUGAUAUCAGUUGUUUCUAAAGAACUCUGUACAAGCUGUAAAGACCAAAGAAUUAACAAAACUCUUGAUCUUUGGCACAUGAGAUUAGGUCUUCCAAAUUCUUCUGAUCUUAGAAAAACCAUGUCAGCUUGUAAUAUCUCAUUUGGAAAUAAAAUGUCUAAGUUGUCCUUUUACAAAGCUUGUCAAUAUGGAAAAAUGCAUAGAUUAUCUUUUAAAGGUAAUGAGUCAAAAUCUUCUACUGCCCUUGAGAUCAUACACAGUGAUCUUUGGGGUCCAGCACCAACCAUCUCAAACCAGGGGUUCAAAUAUUACAUUGCUUUCAUUGAUGACAAAACAAACUACACCUGGAUUUAUGGGUUAACCAACAAGUCUCAAGCACUGUCAGCCUUCAUUGUUUUUAAAAAUCAAAUUGAGAAAAGCUUAGAGCUGAAAAUCAAAACAAUUCAGUGUGAUAUGGGGGGAGAAUACAAAGACUUUGAACCUUAUCUCAGAAGUGAAUGGAUAGAUAUAAGAUAUUCAUGCCCUUAUACACAUCACCAAAAUGGGAAAACUGAGAGGAAACACAGACAUCUUGUUGAAACUGGACUCACACUUCUUGCUUAAGCUGAUAUACCUCUUAAGUUUUGGUGGGAACCAUUCUACAAUGCUACCUAUCUUAUCAACCGAAUCAGUACACCUACAUUGAAUCACAAAACACCUUUUGAAGCCCUUUAUUCCAAGAAACCAAGUUACUCACAAAUCAAAAUCUUUGGUUGUGAAUGUUACCCUUUCUUAAGACCAUACAACAGUCAUAAGCUUGAUUUUCAUACCUCAAAAUGUGUUAACUUAGGUGUCAGUAAACAGCACAAGGGUUAUCUGUGUAUGAAUUCAAAUGACAGAAUUUAUAUUGCUGCUCAUGUUAAUUUCAAUGAGAAUUCUUUUCCCUUAAAAAAUGAUUCAAAGUUCAUGGUCCCUAAGUCCACUCAUGCAUUAGAAUCUGUAAACCCACUUAGUAAGUUUCUUUCAAUAUCAUUUCCUUCAGAAACUCAAAAUCAUGAGGCAACAGCAGCAAGUACAAAUUCAUUGGAUGACACAACUAGCUCAGAUAAUCCUUAUAAUGAACAAAAUCCUGACAACAUUUUUUAUCAAACAAAUUCAAUGCAUGAUAAUGAAAACAGUACACAUGAAUCUCCUCAAACAUCUUUUCCUUCUGAACCAAACAACAAAAUUCCAGAAACAUCUCAGCCUACAUAUCAACCUAGACCUUCACAUCCUAUGACAACUAGAGCUAAAAAUGGCAUUUUUAAACCCAAAACUUUAACACUGAAAAAUCUCUGUCCCUUGACACACCUUCAAGUGUAGAUGAUGCUUUGAAUAACCACAAGUGGAAACAAGCAAUGCAGGAAGAGUUCAAUGCCUUAAUGAGAAAUCAGACUUGGUGUUUAAUUCCUCCAGAAAAGAAUAUGAAACUGGUUGGGAACAAAUGGAUUUAUCGAGUCAAACAGAACUCAGAUGGAUCAAGCAACAAAUACAAAGCUCGUUUGGUAGCUAAGGGGUUUUUACAAACAGAAGGGAUUGAUUAUCAAGAAACUUUCAGUCCAGUGGUUAAAGUAGCAAUUAUAAGGAUUGUACUAAGCCUUGCUGUUAUAAACAACUGGAAGCUGAGACAAGUAGAUAUCAAUAAUGCACUUCUCAAUGGAGAACUCAGUGAAACUGUGUACAUGCCUCAGCCAUAAGGGUUUGAGAAUUCAGAACAUCCAAACUAUGUGUGUAAGCUAAAAAAGGCCCUCUAUGGAUUGAAGCAAGCACCAAGAGCUUGGUUUGAUAAACUUAUAUCAGUUUUGGAGUCUUGGCAGUUUACCAGAACCAGGUCAGACACAUCCUUAUUCUUUAAGAGAAGUGGAAAUGAUAUGAUCUUGUUGUUGAUUUAUGUAGAUGAUAUAAUAGUGAUUGGAAAUAACAAUGCUGAAAUAGAACAACUCAUCAGUAAUCUCAACAGUACUUUUGCUUUUAAAGAUUUGGGAAAUCUUAAUUUCUUUCUUGGUAUUGAAGUUAUUAAAAAUGAUGAAACUUUGGUAUUAUCCCAGUCAAAGUAUGUAAAAGAUCUACUUGCCAAGUUUGAUUUGAGAAACUUCAAGGGAACUGAUACUCCUCUGGCCACAACAGAGAAAUUGAGCAAAAACAUGGGUGAAAUCAUUACUGAUGCAACUCAAUACAGGAAAGCUAUUGGAGGAUUACAAUAUGCAGUCUUAACAAGGCCUGAAAUAGCAUAUGCUAUAAAUAAGUUAAGCCACUUCAUGUCUAAUCCUUUACAGCCUCACUGGAUUGCUUGCAAACGAGUACUGAGAUAUCUCAAGGAAACAAUAGAUUAUAGUUUGACUUUCAGGAGAUCUGAUUUUGUAGACUUUGUGAUAUAUACUGAUGCAGACUGGGGAAGUGAUAUUGAUGAUAGAAGAUCAACUAGUGGCUAUUGUGUAUACUUAGGUGAAAACUUAAUCAGCUAGAGUUCAAAGAAGCAGAGUAUAAUUUCAAAAUCAUCAGCAGAAUCAGAAUACAGAGCUAUGGCAUUGGCUUGUUCAGAACUAACUUGGAUCUGCUCUAUUCUUAUAGAAUUGGAUGUCAGGCUUCAGAACACUCCAUUACUGCUAAGUGAUAGCACAAGUGAUGCUGCUAUAGCUACAAAUCCAGUAAUGCAUUCUAAGACAAAACACAUAGAAAUAGACAUUCACUUUGUGAGAGACAAAGUUAAAAGAAAAGAAGUUGAAAUUGCAUUUGUAUCUACAAAUGAUCAAGUUGCUGACAUAUUAACUAAAUCUCUUACUUAUCCCAAGUUCAGCUUCUUCAGAAGCAAACUUAAAGUCUUCCCAAAAGACUUAAGUUUGAGAAGGGGUGUUGAACUAGCUGAUGAAGCUGAACUUCAUGCAACACACGUUGGAGUGCCAGCUGGAAUCAAGCCAGCUGUAAAUCCAGUAGCUAGCCUAGGAGUGAGAGUGAAAGGUGCACGUGAAAAGCUAGAGAAUUCCAGGUGGCAAAACUGUUAUGAAGAGAUUCCCAUGCAGUUGGAUGUGGCUGGAAUUAGUUAGAAAAUCAGCUAUUGUUAAUUGUGUAUUUGUUAUUUUGUUAGUUAGAUUGCUUAGCUAUAAUUGGCGUGAUUAACAAGCAUUAGAUUCUACUAUAAAUACUGAGCUAAGCUCAUUAUUGUAAGUUGAGUUUUGUGAUAAUAAAAUUGAAACAGAUCUUCAAAUUCUAACUCUAAUUAGUUACACAGUACAUUACGAACCUAAAAUAGCCAUAUUGAGAAGCAAACGCUUUUAUAAAAUAACAACAUGCUUAAGAAUAUUUUUCUCUAUAUUAAAAGUCCCGAAUACUUCUCUGGCAUUCACGAAAUGAAUGUUCUCAAUUGCGAUACUGAGCUCUGAAGAGAGCCCUCCUUGCACAGCCAAAAAAUGGCUUCAUAAAUCAACAAUUUCGACUUCAACAUUCAGCGAAAGGGGCGCCAAAACAAAAGACACAAGCCAGCAAAUUUCAAGGCAAUAAAUGCUUUGUCCCACUCUGUCAAAAGAAAGAAACACGGCCCACUCUUGAAUUUGCUUUGAGUGUGGUUCCUACUUUCUUGUCGCCACGCUGUGGAUUCUGACUCUGUGGACUCUGACAGGUGCAAAAAAUAUGCUUACAAAAUUAGAGUAUUAAAUUUAUAUUUUAAAUAAUUUUUAACUAACCAGUAAUUAUUAUGUGUUAAUUAUUUUAAUUUUAAAUAGCAUCAUUAAUGAGAUAAUUUAAAACAUAAAUUAAUGAACGAUACUACCAUGAACAAUACUAUUGUUUUACUCGUAACUUUCAUUACAGUUAGAAAAAUAAAAGUAAAUAAUGCUUUAAAACACCACUAUUCACUUCAUUCUUAUUUGGUAUAACUUUUUAAACUGACCAAAAAUAUUUUUUAAUGUCAAAAACCUUUUUUUAUUAAUUUUUAACUAUUAUUUUUAUCUUUUAACUUGAAAAGAGUUUUUGAAGAUUGAAAAAAAAAACUUUACUAGAAAGCUCAAAUUUUAAACACUUGUGAAAAGAGGUUAUUGAUCAUUUCUAAAGAAUUUCUAAUGUAAACCACCACAUUAAUCCAAUAGUUCAUGUAAAUCACCAAUGUCAAAUUUUAGCCAUUACAUUAAUCCAAUGGUUCAACGAACAGUCGGUAAAGAAAAAUAAUAAAUUAAUGAUAGUCAAGUUAGUGGAGUGUACAAUUAUCUUCCACUUUCACUAUCAUUACUUGAUCUAGCAUUUACAUUUAUCAAGUAUUUUUUAUAAGAGAGGAAUAGAUGCAUUUGCAUAUAAUAGAUCGGAAAAAAACAUGUCCGAUUGUAGAGACCAAAGGUGGUCUCUCAAUGACAGCCCUUGUCACAGGUGGUACCAAAGGGGCAUCGGGUUUGUGCUUUCUCUUCUUUGCUUCAAUUUUCCUCUCCUAAUUCAAUAUUAUUCUAUGUUUUUUUGUUACUAUUUAUGUUGUUAAUGAAUUGAUUGAUCAGCUAUGCUCUAGUAAAAGAACUGGCAGCAUUUGGAGCAAUGGUUCAUACAUGUUCCCGUAACGAAGCCGAACUCAAUCAAAGAGUUCAAGAAUGGAAGAGUAUGGGGCUUAAAGUAAGUGGCCCUGUAUGUGUCCUUAAAGUUAGAGCUCAGCAGGAGAAGCUGAUGGAGACUGUCUCUUCUCUGUUUGAUGGCAAGCUCAACAUCCUAGUAAGUUCUACAGCUGCCAUGUUCGCAAAGAACUUUAUUUGUCAAGAAUCAUGACAUCGAUUGAUGAAAAAUGAUAUUUUAUCCAGAAUAUAUGAUGCUACCAUUUUUUUUUUAACUGUAAGAUCAUAUGGUGUGAAGGUGUAUCCUGUUCCCAUAGUAAAUUUUUUUUUUCUAGAUAAAUACUAGUACUAAAUUGAUACUAAAGCAACAGCAAUCAUAAUUGGAAUUACAUAUAUUUUGGACCUUGUCCCACAUAAAAUGGCAGAAAAAAUGACAAGAAUCAGGAUCAAAACCAGUGAAUUAGAUAGUUAAGAUAGACAAAGGAAUAAGAAGCUGACUUCAUAUGAGAAUAUCAUAUGAGAUGGUUUAGGAAAUAAAAUAAUUUUUGUAAGGACUGCUUCACUUUCUAAGUCAACAAGGUUGCAACUCUGUAGUCUAUUUAGCUUCUCCACACUGAAGAACUGCUCUAUUACUGAUGAUCAUUGUAUCAGGUUAACAAUGCUGGAACCAGCAUUCCUAAGGAAGCCACAGAAUUUACCAUGGAGGAUUUCUCAACUAUAAUGACCACCAAUUUCGAGUCUGCUUAUCAUCUGUCUCAACUUGCACACCCACUCUUAAAAGCGUCAGGAAAUGGAAACAUCAUAUUUAUAUCCUCUGUUGCAGGCGUUAUUGCUUUACCUAUGUGUUCCAUCUAUGCAUCGAGUAAAGGUACAGUUCAAUAUAUAUAUUUUUCUAAAAUCUAGUUUCAAGAAAGUCUUUUAGAUACUGACUGAAUAGUCUUCUGUACUUCAGGGGCGAUGAAUGAACUCACAAAGAACUUGGCAUGCGAGUGGGCAAAGGACAAAAUUCGUGUGAAUUCAGUUGCACCAUGGAUCAUUAGAACUCCACUCAUUGAUAACUUAGUAGUAUAUACUCAUUCCCUUCACCCUUUUCUGUGAUUGCUAUAUCUUUUUGUUCUAUUUUCCCCAUUCCAUCUAUCUAAUUAAAAACACCCAUUAAAGUAUGAUGCUCCUAAGUUUUAGCAUACAAUUACUAUGGAAAUCAUGUUACAUAUAAUCCUUUAUUUCCAACUAAUAGAGCAUACAUAUAUAGAAAAAAUUCACAGGAUUGAGAGUCCAAGACACCCCAUUAUGUCAAAAUAGGUAGUGCCAAUUGCUUAUAUCUUCUGAGUAAGCAAAUCUUUUGCAUUUGGAAGAAAUGGUGCUUAAGAGCUUAUGUUAACUAUUAAUUUUCUGUUCUUUUAGAAUGAUUCUAUGUUUAUGGAAUAAGCAAAUCGCUUGAUACUCCAUACUCCUAUCCCCUAUCCUGGAGAACCUAAUGGGGUUUCAUCGGUGGUAAACUAAAAUUAAAGGAUAAGACUAUUUGAACGCAUAAAUGUAUUCAUUAUAUGAGGAUAGUUUAGGAAUAAAAAAUUUUAAAUGAAAAUGUAUUUGAACUUUGAAGAGUAAUUUUAAGGGUUAGAGUAACGAGCUAACUAUAACUUUUCAUUAUAUUGGAGUGAAAUUGUAAAUCAAAAAAAGAGUAAGGAGCUAACUGUAAUUUGCCAUUAACAAAAGACAAAAAGUGGAGGUAUGGUGUCUCAAGGGCACCACAGCCGCACCUUAUAAAUGAUUCUCUUUCAGAUGCCUUUCCUACAAUAUUAUUAAUUGAUAAUUCAAAAUAGAGCUCCACUCAUAAGAGCAUGUUUACCAAAGGAUAAAACAUACAUAUUUUACUUACAAUAAUUUCAGAAUUCACAAGUAAUUUAGAUAAUCGUGACCCAUGUUUUCCCAUUAAGAAAUAAUGAAUCAAACAAUUACAAAAAAAAAAAAAAAUUCAACAUCCAUAUCCUAAUUGGUUCCGCAGUACAUAAAACAAAUAGGUGGUGGGCAAAAAAUUUAAAAAAAAAAUUGUGAAUGGUCUAAAUUCAUGUUGAUAGCCCAUUUUACCUAAAUUAAAUUGGUAGUGGUGGCAUAUUGACCCUAAAAUUAAGGAGUUGACGGUUCUAUUACCACAUAAAAAGGAGCAGAUGGCCAACUAUUUGGGAGAGAGAUAAGGUGAAAGUAAGAGGAGGAAGGGGGGAUUCUAGACCUUUUUUUUUUUUUUUUGACCACGAGAUAUCUUAGGGAGAGCCCCAACUGUGAGAGGCACCUUUAAGUCCGUACCACAACCUAGACUAGAAGUCCCCGCUCGAACCGAGAGGCACAGGUUCUCCUAAUAAAAGCGACUUCCCUGCGACUCGAACUAGGGAGCAAACCCAGUCAAGCCACUUAAGGGGACUCCAUUGCCAGUGGAGCCAACACUUUGUUGGUGGAUUCUAGACCUUUUCUAUGAUAGCUGGAUAGCACUAUGAUUUACAUUGGGAUGUAUGAUUUCUUUAUCUAAAUCUUACUUUAGCAAUAGAGGGUUCUCACCGGAACCCCACUGGCGAGUCCUGCUGUUUUCUAUGAGUGACAGGUUGAGAAAUUCGUAUUCAACUCGCUACAUAGGUUCAAUUCGUACUAUUUUUGCACCAAAAUAAAUUUUUCUGUUGAGGUCAUUUUUCGGCAUCAACAAUUCACUUUACAAAUGUUUGGAGUACAAUAUCCCAUGGUUUUAGUUCACUUUCCAAAUCUAAAAUUGAUCUUUCUUUGAUGCUUCGUUUGCUUCCCAGGUCAAAAAUUAUUACCAAAGAUUUGCAAGGACACUUUAUUCAAUUUAUUAUUUUUGUAAUUACUAAUAAAUUAAUGUUUCUUGGUUUUUUUCUUGUUCGUGGAAUUUGGAAGAGGGAAGAGGAAUUUUUGAAAUCAGAGCAAAGAGAAAGAAAAUGAGGGAAUUGUUUGACUUUUAAUAAAUUAAUUUUUAAAUUUAAAAAUUAGGAUCAGGCUACGGUGCAACUGUGUUACCGUGCCACAGUUACAUCCAGCCGUUGGAUGCAUUGGAUUAGUGGGGUUCACUGGCAUCUAACGGCUGGAUGCAACUGUAGCACGGUACUACAGUUGCACCACAGGUUUCUCCUAAAAAUUAUUGACACAUAUUAAAAAAUUAUUAGUUCGUGAUUUUACAUCAUGAGAUAACAUGGAAUAUCAAAUAUAUUUUAAAAUUAAUUUCUCUGUAGUCCGACACAUGCCUACCUAGUCUCAAGAUUACCGAUGAGAUUACGGCAUCAAAAAACUAUUUAUUUGACAAAAUAUAUUUCUGUUACUCGUUUAUAAAAAAAAGUUGCAUAAAGUGUGUUGGAAAUUACAAGUUCUCAUCUCAUUACUGAUCCUUCCUUAUCACACGUGGCGCGCUUAUAUAAAUUAAGUUGUCAUUUCAUUGCGGUUGUUAGUUGCAGAAAACAGUAACACAGCAAGACCCUCCGCCAUUAUAACUUGCAAUCCAAAACUAUCCAGGUAUUUUAGAUAAGAUAGGAAUGGUUGCUUUUUGGCCUUCUAACCAAUAGGGGGAAAAAAAUGUCAGAUUUUAGAGAGAAAAGAUGGUCUCUCAAGGGUAUGACGGCCCUUGUCACAGGUGGAACCAAAGGGAUCGGGUUUGUGCUUUCUCUUCUUUGCCUUAAUUUUCCUGAAUCAAUCCAAUUCUAUUCUUUUUUUUUUUUUGUUACAAUAUAAGUUGUUAAUGAACUGAUUGAUCAGAUAUGCCGUAGUAGAAGAACUAGCAGCAUUUGGAGCAAUAGUUCAUACAUGUUCCCGUAACGAAACAGAGCUCAAUCAAAGAAUUCAAGAAUGGAAGAGUAAGGGGCUUCAAGUGAGUGGCAAUGCAUGUGACCUGAAAAUUAGAGCUCAGCGAGAGAAGCUGAUGGAGACUGUCUCGUCUCAAUUUGAUGGCAUGCUCAACAUCCUUGUAAGUUCUGCACAGCUGCCAUAUUCACGAAGAAAUUUUUUUGUUAAAAGCCGGGGACCAUACGGGAGUAUACAUUAGAUAGAUUAGGAAGUAAAAUUAUUUUUCCAAAAACUGCUUCAAUUUCAAAGUUUCUCUCUGCUUAUGUGAGUAAUAAGGUUGCAACUCUAAUGAGUCUUUUGCUUCUUCAAACUCAAGAACGCUUUAUUACUGAAG
rnacentral:lncRNA from 1 species